rnacentral:rRNA from 1 species
CGCUAUCACUCCUACGGGAGGCAGCAGUAGGGAAUCUUCCACAAUGGGCGAAAGCCUGAUGGAGCAACGCCGCGUGGUGAAGAAGGUCUUCGGAUCGUAAAACCCUGUUGUUAGAGAAGAAAGUGCGUGAGAGUAACUGUUCACGUUUCGACGGUAUCUAACCAGAAAGCCACGGCUAACUACGUGCCAGCAGCCGCGGUAAUACGUAGGUGGCAAGCGUUAUCCGGAUUUAUUGGGCGUAAAGGGAACGCAGGCGGUCUUUAAGUCUGAUGUGAAAGCCUUCGGCUUAACCGGAGUAGUGCAUUGGAAACUGGAGACUUGAGUGCAGAAGAGGAGAGUGGAACUCCAUGUGUAGCGGUGAAAUGCGUAGAUAUAUGGAAGAACACCAGUGGCGAAAGCGGCUCUCUGGUCUGUAACUGACGCUGAGGUUCGAAAGCGUGGGUAGCAAACAGGAUUAGAUACCCUGGUAG